CCGUCUUCUCUUGUCAGGAGCAAGGCCGAGAACCUUCUUUCAUUUCACCAUCUCUGUAUCUCUCUAGCUCUUUACAUGACCAAGAACAGCCUACUUCUCUCUAAAAUUCUGGCUCGAUUUACCUUUUAAUCUUAACAUUCUGAGUGUAUAAUCAGUAUAUCCGUUCCAAAAUACCUGAUUUUGGAAUACAUCUUUGAAUCUGAUGUCUCAAGGAGACUAUUUGUAUAUGGAAUUUUGUUUUCCAGCUUCCGAGUUCAGCAAAUCCGACACUCGAACGGAGUUCGCAUCAACCAUUUCCGACUUAAGGUUCCGACCCAGAAUUCAUCUCAAACUCGAUUCAGAGGUUGAAGAUGGCGAGUAGCGUAUGUAUGAGAGUUGCUGACUUAAGUAUGUAAUUAACUUUGUACGUUGGUCUGUGCAUCUAGGUCCUACGGCGUGUGCGUGAACGGAAUUUGUAUGUUUAUUUUGAAUGAAUUAGACGGUAUGACUGUUUUUGUGGUUACUGCAUAAAAUGCGGUGUGUGCGUUUGUUUA